rnacentral:rRNA from 1 species
AUUGAACGCUGGCGGCAGGCUUAACACAUGCAAGUCGAACGAGCGGCGGACGGGUGCGUAAUGCUUGGUAAACUACCUUAUGGAGGGGGAUAACUACUGGAAACGGUAGCUAAUACCGCAUACCAUCAGAUGUGCCCAGCUGGGAUUAGCUAGUUGGUGGGGUAAUGGCUCACCAAGCCGACGAUCCCUAGCUGGUCUGAGAGGAUGACCAGCCACACUGGAACGGGGACACGGACCAGACUCCUACGGGAGGCAGCAGUGGGGAAUAUUGCGCAAUGGGCGCAACCCUGAUGCAGCCAUGCCGCGUGUGUGAAGAAGGCCUUCGGGUUGUAAAGCACUUUCAGCUGGGAGGCGUUACUCGCAGAAGAAGCACCGGCUAACUCCGUGCCAGCAGCCGCGGUAAUUC